ensembl:processed_transcript
GCACAGCAUUGAGUUAAAGUGACCACAGAAUAAAGUAAGCAAGUGUCAGAGGCAGAGGAGACACAUCAACCAGCAAGUGUGUAACUUAUCAGGAAAAUGACUGACUGAAUGGAUGACUGUCUAGGUUGCAAGCAGGACAUACUUGUUACAGUGAGCGCUGAAUUGGAGAAGCCACUGUGUACCAUGAAUCUUUACAGCUGCUGAGGAGCUCUUGGAGUAAGACAGAGAUCUGAGACUAAAGAACCGACAAGAACUGAACGGCUUGUGAGGGCAGUAAUGUUGACCUGAGCAGGGGCCUUCUACAGGGGACCGCCUAAAGAUACUGGCAUCAUCAUCAUCAUCAUUGAAGGUGUUAAAGUUCUUAUAGACCUCAUCUUUACCAGACUCAGGCAAACUCUGCUUUCACUCUGCCCAAAGCCCCAGCUGGACUGUUUUGGCCCAGGGUAUCCGAUCAGGCCCCGGAAGUGACUGUGGAAACUUGACUGGCCCUGGCUCGCAUUGGCACGCUAACUUAAGUCACGAGAGUGAAAACAUGGCUCUUGACUACAUUCCUAGAGCUUGUGUCCACCUGGGUUUGACCUAUGCAUUUUGACUGUGACAAAGAAUGUUGUUUUUACAAGUGACUGUCUGGUUAACACUGAAAGAUAUUAUAGGGUAGUAUUCCCAAACUGUGGUGUCCUCUUUGCUUCAAUGAAUCUGCAUUAUUCUGGCAAAUAAUACCUUUCAUGCAUUAAAUCA